UUCAAAUGUGUUCUGAUUGAUUUUAGAUGUUUUAUUUAGUCAUUAUCCAUCACUAUGUUCAUUGUUGGAUUCAUCAGUAUUGUUGACUGUGAAUUUCAUACAUGGAGAUACCGUUUUGUUUAAUAGACAGAGACAGCGGAUUCAUAACGACUAUGUAACAGAGCGGACUUCUGGUGGAUUUAUGGAUUUCUGCCCGAGCUGCUUGCUUGUGUGUGUGUGGGUGUGUGGGUGUUUAGGUGACUGUGUGAAUAAUUGUGUGAGGAUUCCGCACGUCUAUUCUCAACAGUUAAUGCUGGCAGAGAGCAGAGAAGUGUGUUAUUGAGACACUUAGCGUGGAAACACACACACAGAKACCUACACACACACACUCAGUGCUGUCACACACUGUCUGCCGAUGAGCUCUGUCAUGCAGUCGUUUCUCUCUCCAGUGAACAAGGCUAUUCUAGUAGCUCUGUUCAUCUUCGCCAUCCUCCUCAUCCUCUAUGUGAUCCUCUGGUACAUCUGUAGAGACGUGGACUGCGACCACGGCAUCUGAUCUGAUUAACAUCGGGAACACCACCGAAUAACCUAACGGUGGAGAGUGACCCGUCUGAAAGAGGGUCACCCUGAGCUACCCAGACAACAUGGCAGAGGUGGUAUAGUGACGGGAGGCAUCAGGGGAAACUGCUUUGAGACCGCAAGACACAUGGCCAGACUGGGGGCACACGUUAUCAUAGCUGGACAGCAUGAGCGGGAGGGUGUGUCUACUGUGAAGACGAUUCGUGAGGAGAACAGAGAGGCCAAAGGUCACAGUCCACACAACCCUGUUUGGUUUUGUAUCUCCUUGGCUCUGGAUAUUACUGAUUGGCUGGAGAGUGAACACACCUUUUCAAAGGUAGAAAUCAUUCCCUAGUUAUAAGACAGAAUUACCCUCUGCUCUAGUGCGUCACGUCAGUUAAGGUAGAGAGGGCGUCAUUGAAGUAGAUUUCCAGGCUGGGACUGUUGCAGGAUCGAUUUCUCUUCGUUAAGACUAAGAGGGUGGC